GAUGAACGCUGGCGGCGUGCCUAAUACAUGCAAGUCGAGCGAACAGAUGAGAAGCUUGCUUCUCUGAUGUUAGCGGCGGACGGGUGAGUAACACGUGGGUAACCUACCUAUAAGACUGGGAUAACUCCGGGAAACCGGGGCUAAUACCGGAUAAUAUUUUGAACCGCAUGGUUCGAUAGUGAAAGACGGUUUCGGCUGUCACUUAUAGAUGGACCCGCGCCGUAUUAGCUAGUUGGUAAGGUAACGGCUUACCGAGGCGACGAUACGUAGCCGACCUGAGAGGGUGAUCGGCCACACUGGAACUGAGACACGGUCCAGACUCCUACGGGAGGCAGCAGUAGGGAAUCUUCCGCAAUGGGCGAAAGCCUGACGGAGCAACGCCGCGUGAGUGAUGAAGGUCUUCGGAUCGUAAAACUCUGUUGUUAGGGAAGAACUAAUUUGUUAGUAACUGAACAAGUCUUGACGGUACCUAACCAGAAAGCCACGGCUAACUACGUGCCAGCAGCCGCCGUAA
rnacentral:rRNA from 1 species